rnacentral:lncRNA from 1 species
AACUUUUCCUGGAUGAAGGCCCCUUCUUUAGGAGGAAUGUUCUACAGCCAGAGUCUCAAUGGCAGCUAGGGUGUUGUCCAUCUCCUCCUACAUGAGCUGGGGUGCAUGCUGCAUUUGGUAUCACAAGUGAUGGGAUUACAUAAUCUAUGCGCAACCACCAGGGAUGUGGUUUCUGAGGUUGCUGGAGACGGCUGGGACACACUUCUUGGGAUCUGCUUCCAGUGCUCAUUAUACUCUGAGUAUCAUAGUGUAGAUAUUGUCCUGGAAGGCAAAAAUGUAGAAGUAUUCAGUAUUCGUCUUUUCUUUUUUAAACCUUGUUGCUUUUGUGUUUUGGAAAUACUAUGUUAGAAGUUCUGUGAGUGUUGUUAGGCGUGUCUCAAAGCAAUUUUAUCUAUCACUAACCAGAGCUUUGGUGUUAUUAUGUCAGCAAGCUUUCAAAACAGACUUGGUACAUUUAAAUGUGUAGAUGUUCAGAAUUCGAAUGGAACAAGGGAAUUUUUUAGAAAGCAUAUCAAAUCAGAACAACCAAAACAAAAACCACGUAGUCAUCUUCUAUAUAUAAGCCAAUGGCUGGGUGAUUUGUAUAUUCAUGUUGUCUUUCAAUGGCUCAGCUCUUGGCUGCCUGAGCUGUAGGAAUGGCUGCAACUUCAUUUAGCCUCCAGCAAAGGGGCUUACAUACACGUUGCCAGUGUGUUUCAGAACUCACAAGACAGAAGAUCAGGUAUUACACUUCUGUCCUUGGCUCUGGCGGAGGAAUGUGACUUAAUUCUCUGAUAGGGCGUAAUCAAAGUUGCAAUGCCUUUCAGGCUGAAUAAACUGAACAGUGAAGAUGUAGGUUUACUGCGCUGUAGUUCUGCUUUCUGGCCCAGGUGACCCUUGCUAACCUGUGUGUUAGCGUUGCUGUGAAAUAUGGCAGCAGCUUGAACUCAGCUGUCCUCUAUAAUUGGAAUUUAUGGCCUUGGUCAGUAAUAAGGACAAAGAAAUGUGCAAUAUCAAUCACAGCAAGUUAUGAGUGCAUGAACGUGAGUUAGCUCAGGCAACUGGCUCUGGGGUUACAGGAGUAUUGGUAUGGGAGCAACAUUCAUCUGUACUUCACACCUGACCCUGAAGCAAUCUUAUGUCAUUACUGUGAUCACUUCUUUGUGAUGCAUCUUUUCACCCAGGGGAGAAAAAGCGUAAG